AGUCUAGUUAAAGUCUGUGUCUUAUGAUGAAGCUUCAUAGGGCAGAUUCUGAGCUGAGAAAUGAAAUCUCUCUCCACUGAUAUUCACUGUAUGCCAUCUGAAGACACAACUUAUUAC
ensembl:snoRNA SNORD90 small nucleolar RNA, C/D box 90